AUGGAUUGGAACUAUGAUUCAUCUGAUGAGGACUACAGCUAUGAUGAAGAUUCAGAUGGUCAUAUAAGGAAGAGGAAGAGUUCAUUCCCAAGAUACAACCCUGAAAGUGAAGUACCACAUUUUGCUUUGACCAUGGUUUUUAGAAGCAAGAAUCAGCUAUGCAAAUCUGAGUGUGACAGAGUUAGGGCAAAGUGUGGAUGGCCUGGCUGCCCAUGGCUGAUAUAUGCAGCCAAGAGAUCAAGGACUUCAAGAUUCCAAGUCAUAACAUACAAUGAUGAUCACCAAUGUGCACAGAACAGAUGCAACAAGUUGGUUACUGCAAAGGUGAUUGCACAGAGGUAUGAGCACUUCAUACUGGCAAAUCCUAUG
rnacentral:rRNA from 1 species